AAACUACAAGGGGAGCCGAAGCUCCCCCAGAAGUAGUUGCGUGCUCUAUUUUUAUUAUUGAUUUCGGGCUUCUUGUUUUUGUUGAUCGCCCUCGCCAUGAAGCUUCACCUUCAAGACACUCCCAAUCGGGAGUCAAGAGCAAACGGAUUGCUUUGGUCGCUGUGUUGCUGAUCUACGAUCCAACCAGUUCAGGCUCUGCCUUAGGGCAGUU
rnacentral:misc_RNA from 1 species